UCCGUAGGUGAACCUGCGGAAGGAUCAUUAUCGAGUUUUGACCGGGUUGUAGCUGGCCUUCCGAGGCAUGUGCACGCCCUGCUCAUCCACUCUACACCUGUGCACUUACUGUGGGCUUCAGAUCGCGAGGCAGGCUCUUUACCGGGCUUGCGGAGCGCAUCUGUGCCUGCGUUUAUCACAAACUCUAUGAAGUAACAGAAUGUGUAUUGCGAUGUAACGCAUCUAUAUACAACUUUCAGCAACGGAUCUCUUGGCUCUCGCAUCGAUGAAGAACGCAGCGAAAUGCGAUAAGUAAUGUGAAUUGCAGAAUUCAGUGAAUCAUCGAAUCUUUGAACGCACCUUGCGCUCCUUGGUAUUCCGAGGAGCAUGCCUGUUUGAGUGUCAUGAAAUCUUCAACCUACAAGCUUUUGUGGUUUGUAGGCUUGGACUUGGAGGCUUGUCGGCCGUUAUUGGUCGACUCCUCUUAAAUGCAUUAGCUUGGUUCCUUGCGGAUCGGCUUUCGGUGUGAUAAUGUCUACGCCGCGACCGUGAAGCGUUUGGCGAGCUUCUAACCGUCUUAUAGACAGCUUUAUGACCUCUGAUCUCAAAUCAGGUAGGACUACCCGCUGAACUUAAGCAUAUCAAUAAGCGGAGGA
rnacentral:rRNA from 1 species